ACCAGAUAUGGUGACAUGGUACCAAAAACCAUAGCGGGGAAGAUUUUUGGUUCCAUCUGUUCGCUAAGUGGAGUCUUGGUCAUUGCUCUGCCUGUCCCAGUGAUCGUGUCCAAC
rfam:Otolemur garnettii contig069041, whole genome shotgun sequence.